rnacentral:rRNA from 1 species
GAUGAACGCUGGCGGCGUGCCUAAUACAUGCAAGUCGAGCGAACGGACGAGAAGCUUGCUUCUCUGAUGUUAGCGGCGGACGGGUGAGUAACACGUGGAUAACCUACCUAUAAGACUGGGAUAACUUCGGGAAACCGGAGCUAAUACCGGAUAAUAUUUUGAACCGCAUGGUUCAAAAGUGAAAGACGGUCUUGCUGUCACUUAUAGAUGGAUCCGCGCUGCAUUAGCUAGUUGGUAAGGUAACGGCUUACCAAGGCAACGAUGCAUAGCCGACGUGAGAGGGUGAUCGGCCACACUGGAACUGAGACACGGUCCAGACUCCUACGGGAGGCAGCAGUAGGGAAUCUUCCGCAAUGGGCGAAAGCCUGACGGAGCAACCCCGAGUGAGUGAUGAAGGUCUUCGGAGCGUAAAGCUCUGUUAUUAGGGAAGAACAUAUGUGUAAGUAAAUGUGCACAUCUUGACGGUACCUAAUCAGAAAGCCACGGCUAACUACGUG